AUCCAUCUGACGAGUCCCAAAUAAGACGAAGUCCUGGAU
rnacentral:hammerhead_ribozyme from 1 species